rnacentral:tRNA from 1 species
GGGCUGGGGCUCAGUGGUGGAGCGCUUGCCUAGCAUGCAUGAGGCACUGGGUUCAAUCCUCAGCACCACA